UCUGAAUCUGCGUACGGCUCCGCACACCAGUUGUAAACCAAAGCAAGCAAGCCUGACCCCGAGGCCUUCACAGGUCAAAGGGCCAGGUUACAAGGAUAACCCUGGUAAUUCUGAGGCUAAUACGUGACACGAACCUGUCGACUGGGGGCUUGCCCCUGGGAAGCGGGGGAUGUGCGACUAUCGGGCCAAAAACAACCGGAAAGAGCGCACGUUCAGACCACUCCAAAAAAGGUCUGCAGGAUCCCUCACGGGGUUUUGCGGAUCUUGUGGCUCUUGCACUGUGCUUCUGACCUAUCAACUAGACGGCAGCUUAAGGGACAUG
rnacentral:rRNA from 1 species